GCCCUAAGACUAGCCUACCACUAAUCCCACCCUAAAAACAUUAGAUUCCGCCUAAAAGACCCUAACGACUAACCAAAUCAUUUUUCCACCCAAGUACGGGAGACAGAAAAGGAACUCAGAGCAAAAGAGAAAGUACCGCAAGGGAAAGUUGAAAGAUUAAUGAAAAAUAUAAAGCACAAAAAAGCAGAGAUCUAGCCUCGUACCUUUUGCAUCAUGGUUAAGCUAGUACAACUCAAUGCAAAGAGACCUUUAGUAUUGCCCCCCGAAACUAGACGAGCUACCCCGGGACAGCCUAUCUCAGGGCCAACCCGUCUCUGUGGCAAAAGAGUGGGAAGAUCCCCGGGUAGAGGUGACAAGCCUACCGAGCCUAGUUAUAGCUGGUUGCCUGAGAAAUGAAUAGAAGUUCAGCCCCUUUAAAUCUUGCUUUACCCACUAUUGCAGACUCAAUAACAAGAUUUAAAAGGAGUUAGCUAAAGGAGGUACAGCUCCUUUAAGACAAGAUACAACUUUUUUAAUAGACUAAGGAUCAUAAAACCUAAAGAUAUUUAUUUCAGUGGGCCUAAAAGCAGCCACCUAAAAAGAAAGCGUUAAAGCUCAAGUAAGGACUUCCUCAUUAUUCUGUUAGUGAGACUCCGACGUCAUCUAAUCUACCAGGCUAUCUUAUGUUUACAUAAAAGAAAUUAUGCUUAAACGAGUAACAAGAAGGAUCAAGCGUCCUUCUCCCGGCACCAGUGUAAAUCAGGAUGAACUUCUCACUGAUAACUAACGGCCCCCAACGUGAGGGUACUAUAAUCCAUAAGAAAUUACUAGGAAAAAUUCUAAACCCCCUCCCCCGUUGACCCUACACAGGGAUGCCUCAGGGAAAGACUAAAAGAAAGAGAAGGAACUCGGCAACCCCAAACCCCGCCUGUUUACCAAAAACAUCGCCUCUUGAUAUCUAAUGAGAGGUCCCGCCUGCCCUGUGACCAAGGUUUAACGGCCGCGGUAUCUUGACCGUGCGAAGGUAGCGCAAUCACUUGUCCUUUAAAUGGGGACCUGUAUGAAUGGCACGACGAGGGUUUAACUGUCUCCUGUUUCUGGUCAGUGAAACUGAUCUCCCCGUGCAGAGGCGGGGAUGACCCUAAAAGACGAGAAGACCCUAUGGAGCUUUAGACAAAAGAUGGCCCCUAAAAACCGCUACUUACAACACUCCAAGUUCACGGUACCCCAUCUCGAGUCUUUGGUUGGGGCGACCACGGGGAAAUACGAAACCCCCACGAAGGCCUGGGCAACUUGCCUAGAAACUCAGAGGGAUACCUCCAAGAAUCAAAAAAUUUGACUACAGAUCCAGCAUAAACGCUGAUUUACGAACCGAGUUACCCUAGGGAUAACAGCGCAAUCCUCUCUCAGAGCCCCUAUCGACGAGGGGGUUUACGACCUCGAUGUUGGAUCAGGACAUCCUGAUGGUGCAGCCGCUAUUAAGGGUUCGUUUGUUCAACGAUUAAAGUCCUACGUGAUCUGAGUUCAGACCGGAGUAAUCCAGGUCAGUUUCUAUCUUUAGCGUCCGCUCCUCCCAGUACGAAAGGACCGAAGAAGCAGGGCCCAUGUUGAAGACAUGCCCUACCCAAAACUGCAGAAGCCAAAUAAAGCAGGCUUCAGGGGAAAUUCCCCGCCAAAGAAAAUGGCUU
rnacentral:rRNA from 1 species